UAUGUGAUCGUCUCUCGCAUAUCAAUAAGCGGAGGAAAAGAAACUAACAAGGAUUCCCCUAGUAACGGCGAGUGAAGCGGGAAGAGCUCAAAUUUGAAAUCUUAAAGGGUUUCCCUUUACGAAUUGUAGUUUAAAGAAGUGUUUUCUGUUGAGGUUUUGGUAAAAGUUCUUUGGAAUAGGACAUCAUAGAGGGUGAGAAUCCCGUAUUUGACCUUUACUUUCAACUUUGUGAUACACUUUCAAAGAGUCGGAUUGUUUGGGAAUGCAGUCCAAAAUGGGUGGUAAAUUUCAUCUAAAGCUAAAUAUUGGCGAGAGACCGAUAGCGAACAAGUACCGUGAGGGAAAGAUGAAAAGAACUUUGAAAAGAGAGUUAAACAGUACGUGAAAUUGUCAAAAGGGAAGCGUUUGACACCAGUGUUGUUUUUCUGAAAAUCAAUUAAAGAACUGUUUAUGCUAAGCUGUUUAGACUUUAUCAGCUAUCUGUUUAGUUUUGAGCUUUUCUUUAAUGCACUUUUCAGUUAACAAGUCAACAUCAAUUUCUUUUGCUGUAAAAAAGCUUGAGGAAGGUGGCUUGAGAUUCGUCUUAAGUGUUUAUAGCCUCUUGCCUAUGCAGUCGGAGAGAUUGAGGUCUGCAGCGUAGAUCCUUCGGGGCUAAAUGCAUUUGUGCUAAGUUAUAGCAUUUUAUAGACAACUUGUUGACUAUGAUUUGUCUUGUAGCUUACUCGCUUAUGUUAUUUUACCUACGCUUAGGAUGUUGAGCGCAUGUCUCUCCU
rnacentral:rRNA from 1 species